CCUACGGGAGGCUGCAGUAAGGAAUAUUGGUCAAUGGGCGGAAGCCUGAACCAGCCAUGCCGCGUGCAGGAAGACGGCCUACGGGUUGUAAACUGCUUUUGCAGGGGAAUAUGUACUCUGAGAAUAAGGAUCGGCUAACUCCGUGCCAGCAGCCGCGGUAAUACGGAGGAUCCGAGCGUUAUCCGGAUUUAUUGGGUUUAAAGGGUGCGUAGGCGGCUUAUUAAGUCAGGGGUGAAAGACGGUAGCUUAACUAUCGCAGUGCCCUUGAUACUGAUGAGCUUGAAUGUAGUUGAGGUAGGCGGAAUGUGACAAGUAGCGGUGAAAUGCAUAGAUAUGUCACAGAACACCAAUUGCGAAGGCAGCUUACUAAGUUGAUUGACGCUGAGGCACGAAAGCGUGGGGAUCAAACAGGAUUAGAUACCCUAGUAGUC
rnacentral:rRNA from 1 species